rnacentral:rRNA from 1 species
CCUACGGGAGGCAGCAGUGAGGAAUAUUGGUCAAUGGGCGGAAGCCUGAACCAGCCAAGUCGCGUGAGGGAAUAAGGCCCUACGGGUCGUAAACCUCUUUUGCCGGGGAGCAAGGGCGGGGACGUGUCCCGGCCCGGAGAGUACCCGGAGAAAAAGCAUCGGCUAACUCCGUGCCAGCAGCCGCGGUAAUACGGAGGAUGCGAGCGUUAUCCGGAUUUAUUGGGUUUAAAGGGUGCGUAGGCGGGCUUUUAAGUCAGCGGUAAAAAUUCGGGGCUCAACCCCGUCCGGCCGGUGAAACUGGGGGGCGUGAGUGGGCGAGAAGAAGGCGGAAGGCGGGGUGUAGCGGUGAAAUGCAUAG